CUUGAACGCUGGCGGAAUGCUUUACACAUGCAAGUCGAACGGUAGAGGGGGCAACCCCUCGAGAGUGGCGAACGGGUGAGUAAUAUAUCGGAACGUGCCCAGUCGUGGGGGAUAACGUAGCGAAAGUUACGCUAAUACCGCAUACGAUCUAAGGAUGAAAGCGGGGGAUCGCAAGACCUCGCGCGAUUUGAGCGGCCGAUAUCAGAUUAGGUAGUUGGUGGGGUAAAGGCUCACCAAGCCAACGAUCUGUAGCUGGUAUGAGAGGACGACCAGCCACACCGGAACUGAGACACGGUCCAGACUCCUACGGGAGGCAGCAGUGGGGAAUUUUGGACAAUGGACGCAAGUCUGAUCCAGCCAUUCCGCGUGCAGGAUGAAGGCCCUCGGGUUGUAAACUGCUUUUGUACGGAACGAAAAGGUCUCUCUUAAUACGGGGGACUCAUGACGGUACCGUAAGAAUAAGCACCGGCUAACUACGUGCCAGCCGCCGCAGUAAAAC
rnacentral:rRNA from 1 species